CGUAUAUACAUGAAUCAAAUUAAGUUUUAUUCAAAUCAACAUACCUUCCAUAAUAUGGCAGCAGCGUGACUGCAGAACUGCCCCAACCCACGACGCUGAAGUUAGCUUCCGAUUCGGCACUUAAGGGAAAAGUUAAGGGGAAAUGAAAUGAACGUGCGGUGCGACAGUUUAUCCACUGAUUAUCUGUUUUUUUCGACACUUCUUGAUGUGUAAACAUUUUAGACAUUUGGGUAAGACAUUAACUAUGCCUGACAAGAGCUAUUGUAUUUGUAAAAUUUGUAUUUUAUUUGUGAAAACGUUUAAGGGGAUAUUUCACCGUUUUUGCUUUAUAACCAGUCCUUAUUAGACCAGGUCCAGAUUGAAAACCACUGUACCUACACUCCUCACAUCUGUACUCGACUAUUCUACAGAGCCUGAAAAUUCAUAAAAACAUAGUCUCUGAUUUGUGAAAACUUUAUUCUAUUUGUGAAAAUGCAAUAAAGGCACAUUUUACAGUUUUUUUCUCAUCCAGACCACAUUAGACCAGGUCCAGCUCGAGAACCGCUACACUUAGACUCUUCAAAUCUGGACUGAAUUAUUCUACAGAGCCUCUGAAUUCAUAAUAACAUAGUCUCUGAUUUGUGAAAACUUUAUUCUAUUUGUGAAAAUGCAAUAAAUGCACAUUUUACUGUUUUUUCAGCAUAUAGACCACAUUAGACCAGGUCCAGCUUGAGAACCGCUACACUUAGACUCUUCAAAUUUAGACUGAAUUAUUCUACAGAGCCUGUAGAUUCAUAAAAACAUAGUCUCUGAUUUGUGAAAACUUUAUUCUAUUUGUGAAAAUGCAAUAAAUGCACAUUUUACUGUUUUUUCAGCAUAUAGACCACAUUCGACCAGGUCCAAGUCGAGAACCGCUACACUUAGACUCUUCAAAUCUGGACUGAAUUAUUCUACAGAGCCUGUAGAUUCAUAAAAACAUAGUCUCUGAUUUGUGAAAACUUUAUUCUAUUUGUGAAAAUGCAAUAAAUGCACAUUUUACUGUUUUUUCAGCAUAUAGACCACAUUAGACCAGGUCCAGCUUGAGAACCGCUACACUUAGACUCUUCAAAUUUAGACUGAAUUAUUCUACAGAGCCUGUAGAUUCAUAAAAACAUAGUCUCUGAUUUGUGAAAACUUUAUUCUAUUUGUGAAAAUGCAAUAAAGGCACAUUUUACAGUUUUUUUCUCAUCCAGACCACAUUAGACCAGGUCCAGCUCGAGAACCGCUACACUUAGACUCUUCAAAUCUGGACUGAAUUAUUCUACAGAGCCUCUGAAUUCAUAAAAACAUAGUCUCUGAUUUGUGAAAACUUUAUUCUAUUUGUGAAAAUGCAAUAAAUGCACAUUUUACUGUUUUUUCAGCAUAUAGACCACAUUAGACCAGGUCCAGGUCGAGAACCGCUACACGUAGACUCUUCAAAUCUGGACUGAA